UGGGGAAUCUUGCGCAAUGGGCGAAAGCCUGACGCAGCAACGCCGCGUGCGGGAUGACGGCCUUCGGGUUGUAAACCGCUUUCAGCAGGGACGAAAUUGACGGUACCUGCAGAAGAAGCCCCGGCCAACUACGUGCCAGCAGCCGCGGUAACACGUAGGGGGCAAGCGUUGUCCGGAUUUAUUGGGCGUAAAGAGCUCGUAGGCGGCUCGGUAAGUCGGGUGUGAAACCUCCAGGCUCAACCUGGAGACGCCACCUGAUACUGCUGUGGCUAGAGUCCGGUAGGGGAGCGUGGAACUCCUGGUGUAGCGGUGAAAUGCGCAGAUAUCAGGAAGAACACCAGCGGCGAAGGCGGCGCUCUGGGCCGGAACUGACGCUGAGGAGCGAAAGCGUGGGUAGCAAACAGG
rnacentral:rRNA from 1 species